ensembl:lncRNA
CACACAUACUCCAUGCUACCCUUGCCCUGGGGGCUGAGUAGAGCCCUGAGGGAUCAUCCUCUUCACCACCAGCCUAGACCUCAAUGAGAUUAACCUAGGCAGCUCUGUGAGGAUGGCAGACUUGUCCUUGGGAUGCGCAGCCCACGCAGGCCACUGUGCUCAGGGUCAGGUCUGAAUUUCACAGCUCACAUGAGUCUCUUCAGUCUUUGCCUAGCCUUAAAACUGAAGGAGUUUCUGGGCAGGGUCACACUUUGCCUGAGCUGGUCUUAGCACAAAGAUGGCACUAAUUAAACAGUUACGUAAAUAAUAACCACUUCAGGUUAGUUAAUCAGCCUAGAUAACAUAUCCAGCUCCCACACAGCACUCUCUUCUCAUCCACACAGCAAACACUGCAAUUUUAGUGCAAUGCUGAUGCAGUGUUGAAACACCCAGUAAUCAUUCAUUAGCUGAAACACUAGCAUCUAACAGCAAGCAGCAUAGCAUCUCAGCUCUGCAUCCCCUGAGGCCCUCAAGAGAUUAUUAAAAAUCCCCAGGUCCUCAGAAAUGUCAGUCUGGGAAUCCCUUUGUUUUAAACAAAAUGAAGGACUGGUCCUCUCUUUGAAACGCCCAACUUAUUCUCAGAGCCUUUUUAAAUCAAAUACAGAUAUGCUCUAUUCUUUCUGCAGAUCCAUCUGGCUGCUUAAAGGCAAAGAAAAGAACACUGCCACAUAAAGUGCGUACGCAUCUCCAGACAAAUUAAACCCCAGAGCCAGGUCAACGACCAGCUGAGUAUCCUGGGGAUGGGCAGGUAUUUUAACCGUGUGGCAGCUUGCUGGAGGAGAAGGAAGGAGAGGACGUGGGGAAGGCAUAGGGAACCAAAAAAGAGAACAGAUUUGUUAUUAGAAAGAUGACAUUUACAAAUACCAUUCCCUUUGGGUGAAGUUACACUUAAGCUAGAUGGCUCAGACAAUACUAAAACUGAGAUGAGGCUUUAUUUCUGAAGUUCUUUUCUUCUGAGGAACCUGAGACACUUUCAGAGAAGCAUGAAUUAAGCCUCACAACAGUAGUGUGCAUGAAACAGUGACUAUUCUCCAUUUAGUAGAAGGGGUAUACAAAUGCAAAGAGGUCAUGUGAGUUGUUUGAGGGCGUACAGGAAGUCUGUGGCACAGCACAGAAAUAGAAUCCAGACCUCUUGACUCCUAGACUUGUACUUCAACCACAACUCAUCUUUCUUCCCUUAAACAAUCAAGAAGUUGAAAGCCAAGCAGCAUCAAGUCAAACAUCUGAGCGAUGCUUGUCUUAGAUUUGUGAUGUGGCUCAGACUGUGUUCCUUCGGGCUGGCUAGAAACUGACACAGAAACAUCACUUCCUGAGGGGUCGUGAGAAAUGGAAGAAGACGGAGGGAAGAGGACUACUGAGACACUGAGACUUUCAAACCCAUCUUCUCAGCCUUCUCCUUACCAUAAAAUGACACAGCAGUGUUUUCUUCUGUUACCAUGGUGUUCUGCAAAUGACUUCAGCUCACUAACUAGAAAUUAAAUGGGCAAACCUCUGAAAGUUUGGCAGUUUGAAUAAACAUCUGCAGGGAUCUGGCUGGACCUGGGGACAGGCUGUCCUUUGCAAAAGAAACCACAGAAAUUGCUUGAGACGCACCACUCUUCUAAGGGCUUGUGCUGAGUCUAAAGGAAAGAGUGUGAAGCAUGUAAUGUCUGCACCCAGAGAGAGGGGGAAGAGCUAUUUGGAAGGGACACCUGGUGACCGCAGUGGCCAUGGGGCCACCAGCCAGCCUGCUCUCCUGGGUGAUGCAGCCGACUGCAGCAGAACAACAUGAACAUGCUGUCAGAUGCCUUGCAUCUGUGUACUCUCAUUCCUGCUCUAUUGUGCAACUAUUCCACUCCAGUCUCAGCUGAGGCUUCAAGUGGGAAUAACCCAAAAUACCACAACAACAGCUGUUUUGUUGGAUUUUAUGGAGCUGAAACCCAGGAGUCCUGGAAAUCUUCAAAUAAAGCUUUUUCCCAUAAAAGAAACUUCCAGAUGCAUAAGCCUGAGUGUUUGUGAGCAGCUCAUGUCUGUGUAGUAAGCUUGCAUUUUUUAUGUCUUCCCCUUGUCAUUUCAUUUAUAAUAAAUGUGUAAUAACUUGCUAAGUACUGCAGUAAUUCCUAAGAACAUUAAUGCAUUAUUUGAUGGUGAAAUUUCACUGGAAGGCCACCAUCAUCUGACUCCACAUAUUUUAGCAGGCUUUCCUUUACUGAAUAGAUUGCCUUUGAAUAAAAAAUUCCAAAAUUGAGAGCAGUCUUUAGGAAAAAUUUUCAUGGGUUUGACAAGCCAGUGGACAAGGGUUACAAUGCUCAAAGCUGCCUGUGAUAUGUAACAUGUCUUUUUUACCAGGCGGUGAAGGAGCAUAUUUCUACAUGAGGCAUUUCAAAGAAAGCCAGAUCAUUUUUUCCACAGGCAGCAGGAUGCUGUGCGCAAACAGUCACCCCACGUUUGUCAUCUUACAGUAAGGCUCUGAGACUUCACCUACGGAAGCUUCACAAAGCUUUACAAUACACUAUCUGCUCACUGUGAUGUCUUACACACUUUCCAACUGCUAUAGAAAAGGGUGAAA